rnacentral:rRNA from 1 species
UGGGGAAUUUUGGACAAUGGGCGCAAGCCUGAUCCAGCCAUGCCGCGUGCAGGAUGAAGGCCUUCGGGUUGUAAACUGCUUUUGUACGGAACGAAAAGGUGCCUUCUAAUAAAGGGCGCUCAUGACGGUACCGUAAGAAUAAGCACCGGCUAACUACGUGCCAGCAGCCGCGGCAAUACGUAGGGUGCGAGCGUUAAUCGGAAUUACUGGGCGUAAAGCGUGCGCAGGCGGUUUUGUAAGACAGAGGUGAAAUCCCCGGGCUCAACCUGGGAACUGCCUUUGUGACUGCAAGGCUGGAGUGCGGCAGAGGGGGAUGGAAUUCCGCGUGUAGCAGUGAAAUGCGUAGAUAUGCGGAGGAACACCGAUGGCGAAGGCAAUCCCCUGGGCCUGCACUGACGCUCAUGCACGAAAGCGUGGGGAGCAAACA